GAUGAACGCUAGCGGCAGGCUUAAUACAUGCAAGUCGAGGGGCAACAGGGGUAGCAAUACUCGCUGGCGACCGGCAAACGGGUGCGGAACACGUACAGAACCGUUCCUUUAAGUGGGGAAUAGACCCAGAGAAAUUUGGACUUAAAUACCCCGUAACAUUAUGGAGUGGCAUCACUUUAUAAUUAUAGAUUCAUCGCUUAAAGAUGGCUGUGC
rnacentral:rRNA from 1 species